rnacentral:rRNA from 1 species
UUAAGUUAUUAAGGGCGCACGGUGGAUGCCUUGGCACUAGAAGCCGAUGAAGGACGUUACUAACGACGAUAUGCUUUGGGGAGCUGUAAGUAAGCUUUGAUCCAGAGAUUUCCGAAUGGGGAAACCCAGCAUGAGUUAUGUCAUGUUAUCGAUAUGUGAAUACAUAGCAUAUCAGAAGGCACACCCGGAGAACUGAAACAUCUUAGUACCCGGAGGAAGAGAAAGAAAAUUCGAUUCCCUUAGUAGCGGCGAGCGAAACGGGAAGAGCCCAAACCAACAAGCUUGCUUGUUGGGGUUGUAGGACACUCUAUACGGAGUUACAAAGGACGACAUUAGACGAAUCAUCUGGAAAGAUGAAUCAAAGAAGGUAAUAAUCCUGUAGUCGAAAAUGUUGUCUCUCUUGAGUGGAUCCUGAGUACGACGGAGCACGUGAAAUUCCGUCGGAAUCUGGGAGGACCAUCUCCUAAGGCUAAAUACUCUCUAGUGACCGAUAGUGAACCAGUACCGUGAGGGAAAGGUGAAAAGCACCCCGGAAGGGGAGUGAAAUAGAACCUGAAACCGUGUGCUUACAAGUAGUCAGAGCCCGUUAAUGGGUGAUGGCGUGCCUUUUGUAGAAUGAACCGGCGAGUUACGAUUUGAUGCAAGGUUAAGCAGUAAAUGUGGAGCCGUAGCGAAAGCGAGUCUGAAUAGGGCGUUUAGUAUUUGGUCGUAGACCCGAAACCAGGUGAUCUACCCUUGGUCAGGUUGAAGUUCAGGUAACACUGAAUGGAGGACCGAACCGACUUACGUUGAAAAGUGAGCGGAUGAACUGAGGGUAGCGGAGAAAUUCCAAUCGAACCUGGAGAUAGCUGGUUCUCUCCGAAAUAGCUUUAGGGCUAGCCUCAAGUGAUGAUUAUUGGAGGUAGAGCACUGUUUGGACGAGGGGCCCCUCUCGGGUUACCGAAUUCAGACAAACUCCGAAUGCCAAUUAAUUUAACUUGGGAGUCAGAACAUGGGUGAUAAGGUCCGUGUUCGAAAGGGAAACAGCCCAGACCACCAGCUAAGGUCCCAAAAUAUAUGUUAAGUGGAAAAGGAUGUGGCGUUGCCCAGACAACUAGGAUGUUGGCUUAGAAGCAGCCAUAAUUUAAAGAGUGCGUAAUAGCUCACUAGUCGAGUGACACUGCGCCGAAAAUGUACCGGGGCUAAACAUAUUACCGAAGCUGUGGAUUGUCCUUUGGACAAUGGUAGGAGAGCGUUCUAAGGGCGUUGAAGCAUGAUCGUAAGGACAUGUGGAGCGCUUAGAAGUGAGAAUGCCGGUGUGAGUAGCGAAAGACGGGUGAGAAUCCCGUCCACCGAUUGACUAAGGUUUCCAGAGGAAGGCUCGUCCGCUCUGGGUUAGUCGGGUCCUAAGCUGAGGCCGACAGGCGUAGGCGAUGGAUAACAGGUUGAUAUUCCUGUACCACCUAUAAUCGUUUUAAUCGAUGGGGGGACGCAGUAGGAUAGGCGAAGCGUGCGAUUGGAUUGCACGUCUAAGCAGUAAGGCUGAGUAUUAGGCAAAUCCGGUACUCGUUAAGGCUGAGCUGUGAUGGGGAGAAGACAUUGUGUCUUCGAGUCGUUGAUUUCACACUGCCGAGAAAAGCCUCUAGAUAGAAAAUAGGUGCCCGUACCGCAAACCGACACAGGUAGUCAAGAUGAGAAUUCUAAGGUGAGCGAGCGAACUCUCGUUAAGGAACUCGGCAAAAUGACCCCGUAACUUCGGGAGAAGGGGUGCUCUUUAGGGUUAACGCCCAGAAGAGCCGCAGUGAAUAGGCCCAAGCGACUGUUUAUCAAAAACACAGGUCUCUGCUAAACCGUAAGGUGAUGUAUAGGGGCUGACGCCUGCCCGGUGCUGGAAGGUUAAGAGGAGUGGUUAGCUUCUGCGAAGCUACGAAUCGAAGCCCCAGUAAACGGCGGCCGUAACUAUAACGGUCCUAAGGUAGCGAAAUUCCUUGUCGGGUAAGUUCCGACCCGCACGAAAGGCGUAACGAUUUGGGCACUGUCUCAACGAGAGACUCGGUGAAAUCAUAGUACCUGUGAAGAUGCAGGUUACCCGCGACAGGACGGAAAGACCCCGUGGAGCUUUACUGUAGCCUGAUAUUGAAAUUCGGCACAGCUUGUACAGGAUAGGUAGGAGCCUUUGAAACGUGAGCGCUAGCUUACGUGGAGGCGCUGGUGGGAUACUACCCUAGCUGUGUUGGCUUUCUAACCCGCACCACUUAUCGUGGUGGGAGACAGUGUCAGGCGGGCAGUUUGACUGGGGCGGUCGCCUCCUAAAAGGUAACGGAGGCGCUCAAAGGUUCCCUCAGAAUGGUUGGAAAUCAUUCAUAGAGUGUAAAGGCAUAAGGGAGCUUGACUGCGAGACCUACAAGUCGAGCAGGGUCGAAAGACGGACUUAGUGAUCCGGUGGUUCCGCAUGGAAGGGCCAUCGCUCAACGGAUAAAAGCUACCCCGGGGAUAACAGGCUUAUCUCCCCCAAGAGUUCACAUCGACGGGGAGGUUUGGCACCUCGAUGUCGGCUCAUCGCAUCCUGGGGCUGUAGUCGGUCCCAAGGGUUGGGCUGUUCGCCCAUUAAAGCGGUACGCGAGCUGGGUUCAGAACGUCGUGAGACAGUUCGGUCCCUAUCCGUCGUGGGCGUAGGAAAUUUGAGAGGAGCUGUCCUUAGUACGAGAGGACCGGGAUGGACAUACCUCUGGUGUACCAGUUGUCGUGCCAACGGCAUAGCUGGGUAGCUAUGUGUGGACGGGAUAAGUGCUGAAAGCAUCUAAGCAUGAAGCCCCCCUCAAGAUGAGAUUUCCCAACUUCGGUUAUAAGAUCCCUCAAAGAUGAUGAGGUUAAUAGGUUCGAGGUGGAAGCAUGGUGACAUGUGGAGCUGACGAAUACUAAUCGAUCGAAGACUUAAUCAA